rnacentral:lncRNA from 1 species
CGGGCUUCCUGUGGCGACUCGGCGGUCGCUGCGUUCUCUCAACUCUUUCACGUUUGCUUCAAUAUCACUGAUUUAAGUCUCUAUGGAACGCACAAGUCUUCCCGGUGGUAUUUUUACAACUUAAACAAGUCCGUGGACGUGUUUCCGCCAGUUUUGAACGGACAGAAGUUGCCGCCGGAGAAGAAAAAGUCGCCUCUCGGCCCGGUUUGGGAGACUUGAAUAUGCUCUUCACCUGAUGUGAAUCUGAGCCACUGGCAUCCGCUCCUCUCAGCAAUGGCAGAGAGCUUCUACAGGCUGGAGGAUGAAGCCUUCCCCAGCUUCCUGUGCAGAUCUCUGGACAGCACCAGUGGCCGUGCCACCCUGGAGAAUAUGACCCUGGGUUCAGGCCCUGGACUGCCCGUGGCUGCUUCCACUGUGGCUAAAAUUAAACCCCAGACUGACAACAGAGAUCCUGUGGAUUCUUCGUAUCUGGAGGGUGAAAAACGGCAGCGGCGCCGCCGACUGUUGGAGAACCGCCCAGGUUCACUCUCGGCUUCAAAGACGACUUGGACAAUGCAGACGACUUCAUCG